GCCCUGAUGGUCUAGUGGUAUGAUUCGCCCUUAGGGAGCUAAAUACGGGAUUGAACCGUAAAUUCCCACAUUGGGCGAGGUCCCCGGUUCAAUCCCGGGUUAGGGCC